rnacentral:rRNA from 1 species
UACAGAGGUGGCAAGCGUUGUUCGGAAUUACUGGGCGUAAAGGGCGCGUAGGUGGCCUUCUUAGUCAGACGUGAAAUCCCCGGGCUUAACUCGGGAACUGCGUCUGAUACUGGAAGGCUGGAGUUCGGGAGAGGAAUGUGGAAUUCCAGGUGUAGCGGUGAAAUGCGUAGAUAUCUGGAGGAACACCGGUGGCGAAGGCGGCCAUUCUGGACCGAAACUGACGCUGAGGCGCGAAAGCCAGGGGAGCCAAACGGG